GGAACGAUCGAUAACUUUCUGGAAUUUUCAUUUUGCAUGCCGUGUUUGGUUGGAGAGAACGUGGAGAGAAUUUGAAUAGCGAAGUUUAGAAUUUCUUUCUUUCGUUUCUUCUUUUUAAAAAUAUUCAUUACAUCAAUACGAGUUCAUUUUGACACGCACCGAAUCAAUCAUAUGCACAUCCAAACUUCAUUGAUUGUCCUCUCUGAUUUAGGCAAGUUUUGUAGGUUUUGAGCAACACAAUACGCACAAGAGAAGUUGAAAUCUCAGGUACAUACAACCGUUGGAUUUCAAUUUCUCUACUCAAGAAUUCUCCAGAAGUGAAAUGAAAGAGAGAGAGAGAAAGGGAGAAGGCGUGGUGAGUGCGGUGAGAGAGAAGAGUGGCAAUGCAAAGCAUGCAGUUAAAGAAAGAAGGGGCAGAGCAGAGCAGAGCAGAAGAGAGGUGUGGUUUCUGAUGCAUUUUCUCUUAAUUAUCGCAGUGAGAUGGACAUCAGAAGCCACAGUCUGUGUCUCAAUGGUUGGGCUCUGAUGUUGACAAGUUUUUAGAGAGAGAUAGAGGGGAGAGGAAAGGGAAGGCCAUGUGCUAAAGCCAACUUUUAAGGGAUGUGUCUGAUUGGAUUUAGGUUUUGGCUGAAUAGUCAUAAUACCCACACACACUUCAUACUUCACACCUAUGUCUGGAUGUGUUUUUCUGAAUAAAAUUCUUUUUUAAAGUAAAAGUAGAACCAUACUAUAACAUAAAAUUGUAAACCUCCUUAUGUUAUAUAAAGUUUCAAUUAAUAAGUUUGUGUUGCAUUGUGA